rnacentral:rRNA from 1 species
CGGUGGGGUAUGUGGUUUAAUUCGAUGCAACGCGAAGAACCUUACCUGGCCUUGACAUCCACGGAACUUACCAGAGAUGUUGUCCGCCGUAACAGGUGUGACGAGCGCAACCCUUGUCCUUAGUUGCCAGCGGGAUGUCAAGUAUCAUGGCCCUUACGGCCAGGCUACAUACAUGGUCGGUACAAGGGUCGCUAAGCCGCGAGGUAGAGCCUCCCAGAAAACCGAUCCCAGUCCGGAUCGAAGUGCAACUCGACUUCGUGAAGUCGGAAUCGCUAGUAAUCGGGAUCAGAAUGCCGCGGUGAAUACGUUCCCGGGCCUUGUACACACCGCCGUCACACCAUGGGAGUUGGUUGCUCCAGAAGUAGGUAGUCUAACCGCAAGGGGGACGCUUACCACGAGUGGUCAAUGACUGGGGUGAAGUCGUACAAGGU